rnacentral:misc_RNA from 1 species
UUUCCGUAGGUGAACCUGCGGAAGGAUCAUUAUUGAAUGAACUUGGUAGUGGUUGUAGCUGGCUCUCUCGAGAGCAUGUGCACACCCGCCAUCUUUAUCUUUCCACCUGUGCACUUCUUGUAGACUUUGGGAUUUGAAAACUUAUCCGGGGCAACUCGGUCGGGAGGAGCUGCUGUAGCAAUACGGCUCUCCUUGACAAGUCUUCAAAGUCUAUGUUUUUCAUAUACCCCAUAGUAUGCAUCAGAAUGUAUACAAAUGAGCCUUAGUGCUUAUAAAACUUAUACAACUUUCAACAACGGAUCUCUUGGCUCUC